rnacentral:rRNA from 1 species
GAUGAACGCUGGCGGCGUGCUUAACACAUGCAAGUCGAACGAUGAAGCCCAGCUUGCUGGGUGUAUUAGUGGCGAACGGGUGAGUAACACGUGAGUAACCUGCCCUUAACUCUUGGAUAAGCCUUGGAAACUGGGUCUAAUACCGGAUAGGAGCGUCCACCGCAUGGUGGGUGUUGGAAAGAUUUAUCGGUUUUGGAUGGACUCGCGGCCUAUCAGCUUGUUGGUGAGGUAAUGGCUCACCAAGGCGACGACGGGUAGCCGGCCUGAGAGGGUGACCGGCCACACUGGGACUGAGACACGGCCCAGACUCCUACGGGAGGCAGCAGUGGGGAAUAUUGCACAAUGGGCGGAAGCCUGAUGCAGCGACGCCGCGUGAGGGAUGACGGCCUUCGGGUUGUAAACCUCUUUCAGUAGGGAAGAAGCGAAAGUGACGGUACCUGCAGAAGAAGCACCGGCUAACUACGUG